rnacentral:rRNA from 1 species
UACGGAGGGGGCGAGCGUUAUUCGGAAUUAUUGGGCGUAAAGGGCGCGUAGGCGGCUGGGCAAGUCAAAGGUGAAAUCCCUCGGCUCAACUAAGGAACUGCCUUUGAAACUGCCUGGCUUGAGGCCGGGAGGGGGUAGCGGAAUUCCCAGUGUAGCGGUGAAAUGCGUAGAUAUCAGGAGGAACACCGGUGGCGAAGGCGGGUCUCUGGGCCGAAAUUGACGCUGAGGAGCGAAAGCGUGGGGAGCAAACAGG